rnacentral:rRNA from 1 species
UACGGGGGGGGCAAGCGUUGUUCGGAAUUACUGGGCGUUAAAGGGCGCGUAGGCGGUGCUCUAAGUCGGAUGUGAAAACUCUGGGCUCAACCCAGAGCCUGCAUCCGAAACUGGAGUGCUAGAGUUCUGGAGGGGGUAGCGGAAUUCCUGGUGUAGCGGUGAAAUGCGUAGAUAUCAGGAGGAACACCGGUGGCGAAGGCGGCUACCUGGACAGAAACUGACGCUGAGGCGCGAAAGCUAGGGGAGCAAACAGG